AUACGUAUAUGCUAACAUUAAUUUUGUGACCACAAAAUGACAGAGAGCUAUUACACUGUAAGAGAUAUUGUGUCGUCGUGUUUGUCUUCACUCACUUCAUCAUUAUCUGGUAAGUGCUAUAUGCAAUAUCUGGUAUGAGACUUUAUUGGCACUAAAGGGUUCUUUCGGCUAAAUUUUACUUAAUCUCUGUCAUAACAGCAAACAACUUCUGCAACUUCACAACGAUUGUCUGGGUGUGUGCAAAAGAAAGCAUGUUCACUGUGUAAAACCCCGCGCAGGGCAUUUUCAAAUUAACGGUCAGGGCGAGUCUGAGCUUAUCGUGUUCUGUUGACAGAGACUUUGCUGAGGUAAGUAAGAGAAAGAAAUUAAUGUGUUAAAUAAAUAACGUUAUAAACUUGAAUUAUGUUGUGCCAGAAUACGUUGUGUAAUGAAUAUUUGUGGAAUAGGUUUAAAAUAAUACAUUAAUGACUGAACAUGAACUUGACUGAACAUUAUGGCAGCUAGAAGUAUUGAAAAGACGUAUAAUAGAUUUAACAAUGUUUUAUCUUCUUUAUUAGUGUAUGUAAAUCUGGGCUACAGUCCACGACAACUUUUCUACUGUAGUUUUACGCCUGCAUGCUCGUCCUCUCGUCCAUCGCGUGGGGAUCAUCACUACAGCGGGAAUCGCAUUGAAGAGAUCCUGUGCUUGUUGCGUGGCGGUGUGUUUGUCUGCUCACUUGGAUUGAGACCAGCAGUGCUUUUUUAAACAGUGGAUUCUUUACGACAUCAAGAUGUGGUUUGGGAAGGACCUUCAUCUAAAUCUGAAGACAGGACAUACUGGCUCAAAAAGGUGUUUCUGAUAUGGAGAAAAACCCUGCACUGCUCAUUUUAUUUCUUCAUCUUGAGAAUACAGCAAGUUUAACUUUUGUCUGGAAAAUGAUUCAGCAAAGCUAACACCAACAACAAUUUUUCAUGGCACUUCAAACCCCCUUGAUGUGAGGAGCCAGCAUCAGAAUGGAUGGUGUCAAUAUCCUGAAUGAAGAAGUGGAGGUAACAGAGGUGGAUCUCGAGACUUGGCCAUGUUCUAGAUUAUAACUGGAUUAUCACAAGUGCUGUCCCCCCUGCUGUAU